rnacentral:rRNA from 1 species
UGUGGGAUAUUGCACAAUGGGCGAAAGCCUGAUGCAGCGACGCCGCGUGGGGGAUGAAGGCCUUCGGGUUGUAAACUUCUUUUGCUCUGAACAAGGCGCACCAUGGGGAGUGUUGAGUGUAGGGGUUGAUUAGCGCCGGCUAACUACGUGCCAGCAGCCGCGGCAAUACGUAGGGCGCGAGCGUUGUCCGGAAUGAUUGGGCGUAAAGGGCUUGUAGGUGGCUGGUUGCGUCUGUCGUGAAAGCUCAUGGCUUAACUGUGGGUUUGCGGUGGGUACGGGCUGGCUUGAGUGCAGUAGGGGAGGCUGGAAUUCCUGGUGUAGCGGUGGAAUGCGCAGAUAUCAGGAGGAAUACCGGUGGCGAAGGCGGGUCUCUGGGCUGUUACUGACACUGAGGAGCGAAAGCAUGGGGAGCGAACAGG